AACGAACGCUGGCGGCAGGCCUAACACAUGCAAGUCGAGCGCGCCCUUCGGGGUGAGCGGCGGACGGGUGAGUAACGCGUGGGAACGUGCCCUUUUCUACGGAAUAGCCUCGGGAAACUGAGAGUAAUACCGUAUACGCCCUUUGGGGGAAAGAUUUAUCGGAAAAGGAUCGGCCCGCGUUGGAUUAGGUAGUUGGUGGGGUAAUGGCCUACCAAGCCGACAAUCCAUAGCUGGUUUGAGAGGAUGAUCAGCCACACUGGGACUGAGACACGGCCCAGACUCCUACGGGAGGCAGCAGUGGGGAAUCUUAGACAAUGGGGGCAACCCUGAUCUAGCCAUGCCGCGUGAGUGAUGAAGGCCUUAGGGUUGUAAAGCUCUUUCAGCUGGGAAGAUAAUGACGGUACCAGCAGAAGAAGCCCCGGCUAACUCCGUG
rnacentral:rRNA from 1 species